UUAAGCGACUAAGCGUACACGGUGGAUGCCCUGGCAGUCAGAGGCGAUGAAGGACGUGCUAAUCUGCGAUAAGCGUCGGUAAGGUGAUAUGAACCGUUAUAACCGGCGAUUUCCGAAUGGGGAAACCCAGUGUGAUUCGUCACACUAUCAUUAACUGAAUCCAUAGGUUAAUGAGGCGAACCGGGGGAACUGAAACAUCUAAGUACCCCGAGGAAAAGAAAUCAACCGAGAUUCCCCCAGUAGCGGCGAGCGAACGGGGAGGAGCCCAGAGCCUGAAUCAGUGUGUGUGUUAGUGGAAGCGUCUGGAAAGGCGCGCGAUACAGGGUGACAGCCCCGUACACAAAAACACAUGCUGUGAGCUCGAUGAGUAGGGCGGGACACGUGGUAUCCUGUCUGAAUAUGGGGGACCAUCCUCCAAGGCUAAAUACUCCUGACUGACCGAUAGUGAACCAGUACCGUGAGGGAAAGGCGAAAAGAACCCCGGCGAGGGGAGUGAAAAGAACCUGAAACCGUGUACGUACAAGCAGUGGGAGCACGCUUAGGCGUGUGACUGCGUACCUUUUGUAUAAUGGGUCAGCGACUUAUAUUCUGUAGCAAGGUUAACCGAAUAGGGGAGCCGAAGGGAAACCGAGUCUUAACUGGGCGUUAAGUUGCAGGGUAUAGACCCGAAACCCGGUGAUCUAGCCAUGGGCAGGUUGAAGGUUGGGUAACACUAACUGGAGGACCGAACCGACUAAUGUUGAAAAAUUAGCGGAUGACUUGUGGCUGGGGGUGAAAGGCCAAUCAAACCGGGAGAUAGCUGGUUCUCCCCGAAAGCUAUUUAGGUAGCGCCUCGUGAAUUCAUCUCCGGGGGUAGAGCACUGUUUCGGCAAGGGGGUCAUCCCGACUUACCAACCCGAUGCAAACUGCGAAUACCGGAGAAUGUUAUCACGGGAGACACACGGCGGGUGCUAACGUCCGUCGUGAAGAGGGAAACAACCCAGACCGCCAGCUAAGGUCCCAAAGUCAUGGUUAAGUGGGAAACGAUGUGGGAAGGCCCAGACAGCCGUGAUGUUGGCUUAGAAGCAGCCAUCAUUUAAAGAAAGCGUAAUAGCUCACUGGUCGAGUCGGCCUGCGCGGAAGAUGUAACGGGCUAAACCAUGCACCGAAGCUGCGGCAGCGACGCUGAUGCGUUGUUGGGUAGGGGAGCGUUCUGUAAGCCUGCGAAGGUGUGCUGUGAGGCAUGCUGGAGGUAUCAGAAGUGCGAAUGCUGACAUAAGUAACGAUAAAGCGGGUGAAAAGCCCGCUCGCCGGAAGACCAAGGGUUCCUGUCCAACGUUAAUCGGGGCAGGGUGAGUCGACCCCUAAGGCGAGGCCGAAAGGCGUAGUCGAUGGGAAACAGGUUAAUAUUCCUGUACUUGGUGUUACUGCGAAGGGGGGACGGAGAAGGCUAUGUUGGCCGGGCGACGGUUGUCCCGGUUUAAGCGUGUAGGCUGGUUUUCCAGGCAAAUCCGGAAAACUAAGGCUGAGGCGUGAUGACGAGGCACUACGGUGCUGAAGCAACAAAUGCCCUGCUUCCAGGAAAAGCCUCUAAGCAUCAGGUAACAUCAAAUCGUACCCCAAACCGACACAGGUGGUCAGGUAGAGAAUACCAAGGCGCUUGAGAGAACUCGGGUGAAGGAACUAGGCAAAAUGGUGCCGUAACUUCGGGAGAAGGCACGCUGAUAUGUAGGUGAAGUCCCUCGCGGAUGGAGCUGAAAUCAGUCGAAGAUACCAGCUGGCUGCAACUGUUUAUUAAAAACACAGCACUGUGCAAACACGAAAGUGGACGUAUACGGUGUGACGCCUGCCCGGUGCCGGAAGGUUAAUUGAUGGGGUUAGCGCAAGCGAAGCUCUUGAUCGAAGCCCCGGUAAACGGCGGCCGUAACUAUAACGGUCCUAAGGUAGCGAAAUUCCUUGUCGGGUAAGUUCCGACCUGCACGAAUGGCGUAAUGAUGGCCAGGCUGUCUCCACCCGAGACUCAGUGAAAUUGAACUCGCUGUGAAGAUGCAGUGUACCCGCGGCAAGACGGAAAGACCCCGUGAACCUUUACUAUAGCUUGACACUGAACAUUGAGCCUUGAUGUGUAGGAUAGGUGGGAGGCUUUGAAGUGUGGACGCCAGUCUGCAUGGAGCCGACCUUGAAAUACCACCCUUUAAUGUUUGAUGUUCUAACGUGGACCCGUAAUCCGGGUUGCGGACAGUGUCUGGUGGGUAGUUUGACUGGGGCGGUCUCCUCCUAAAGAGUAACGGAGGAGCACGAAGGUUGGCUAAUCCGGUCGGACAUCAGGAGGUUAGUGCAAUGGCAUAAGCCAGCUUGACUGCGAGCGUGACGGCGCGAGCAGGUGCGAAAGCAGGUCAUAGUGAUCCGGUGGUUCUGAAUGGAAGGGCCAUCGCUCAACGGAUAAAAGGUACUCCGGGGAUAACAGGCUGAUACCGCCCAAGAGUUCAUAUCGACGGCGGUGUUUGGCACCUCGAUGUCGGCUCAUCACAUCCUGGGGCUGAAGUAGGUCCCAAGGGUAUGGCUGUUCGCCAUUUAAAGUGGUACGCGAGCUGGGUUUAGAACGUCGUGAGACAGUUCGGUCCCUAUCUGCCGUGGGCGCUGGAGAACUGAGGGGGGCUGCUCCUAGUACGAGAGGACCGGAGUGGACGCAUCACUGGUGUUCGGGUUGUCAUGCCAAUGGCACUGCCCGGUAGCUAAAUGCGGAAGAGAUAAGUGCUGAAAGCAUCUAAGCACGAAACUUGCCCCGAGAUGAGUUCUCCCUGACUCCUUGAGAGUCCUGAAGGAACGUUGAAGACGACGACGUUGAUAGGCCGGGUGUGUAAGCGCAGCGAUGCGUUGAGCUAACCGGUACUAAUGAACCGUGAGGCUUAACCU
rnacentral:rRNA from 1 species